rnacentral:rRNA from 1 species
AUUGAACGCUGGCGGCAGGCCUAACACAUGCAAGUCGAACGAGUGGCGGACGGGUGAGUAAUGUCUGGGGAACUGCCCGAUGGAGGGGGAUAACUACUGGAAACGGUGGCUAAUACCGCAUACCAUCGGAUGUGCCCAGAUGGGAUUAGCUAGUAGGUGGGGUAAAGGCUCACCUAGGCGACGAUCCCUAGCUGGUCUGAGAGGAUGACCAGCCACACUGGGACUGAGACACGGUCCAGACUCCUACGGGAGGCAGCAGUAGGGAAUAUUGCACAAUGGGCGAAAGUCUGAUGGAGCCAUGCCGCGUGAAUGAAGAAGGUCUUCGGGUUGUAAAGCACUUUCAGUGGGGAGGCGUUACCCGCAGAAGAAGCAACGGCUAACUCCGUGCCAGCAGCCGCGGUAAUAC